rnacentral:rRNA from 1 species
GAUGAACGCUGGCGGCGUGCCUAAUACAUGCAAGUCGAGCGAACAGAUAAGGAGCUUGCUCCUUUGACGUUAGCGGCGGACGGGUGAGUUACACGUGGAUAACCUACCUAUAAGACUGGGAUAACUUCGGGAAACCGGAGCUAAUACCGGAUAACAUAUUGAACCGCAUGGUUCAAUAGUGAAAGGCGGCUUUGCUGUCACUUAUAGAUGGAUCCGCGCCGCAUUAGCUAGUUGGUAAGGUAACGGCUUACCAAGGCAACGAUGCGUAGCCGACCUGAGAGGGUGAUCGGCCACACUGGAACUGAGACACGGUCCAGACUCCUACGGGAGGCAGCAGUAGGGAAUCUUCCGCAAUGGGCGAAAGCCUGACGGAGCAACGCCGCGUGAGUGAUGAAGGUCUUCGGAUCGUAAAACUCUGUUAUCAGGGAAGAACAAAUGUGUAAGUAACUGUGCACGUCUUGACGGUACCUGAUCAGAAAGCCACGGCUAACUACGUG